rnacentral:lncRNA from 1 species
CAUUCGGCAUUCAUUAUCUCGCCAGAGAGAAACCACAAGUGGACAUCUUUUCCGAAUAUCGAGAGAGACUUUGUGUGGCGUUGCGGCAAUGAAGCCUGGAACUCUGCUUGGCGUUGCUGCCUUCGGCUUCUUCAUCUGCGUAACGGUCAAUCUUCUCUUCGACUGCGCAACCGCGGAGAAAGAGGUGACCACAACGUGUUUCGUGGACAGAGGUAAAGAAGACUGCAGCCGUUACAAACCGGACGGGAAGACCUGCGAUGACCUGAAGUGCGAGCAGAAAAAUCAAAUCUGCUGCAUGAAAGAUUGCAACAUGACCCAUUUCUGCUUGCGGGAAACAAUAUAAGGCCAAAUCCAUGAAGACGUACAAGGAGCAUACGGCUACCGCAGACAGCAGCGCAUAUAAUCCAGAAUAAACAUUCACGCUUGGUUUGGGUUUUCUACUGA